GGCGAACGGGUGAGUAACGUAUCGGAACGUACCUUUCAGUGGGGGAUAACGUAGCGAAAGUUACGCUAAUACCGCAUAUUCUGUGAGCAGGAAAGCAGGGGAUCGCAAGACCUUGCGCUGAUUGAGCGGCCGAUAUCAGAUUAGCUAGUUGGUGAGGUAAAGGCUCACCAAGGCGACGAUCUGUAGCGGGUCUGAGAGGAUGAUCCGCCACACUGGAACUGAGACACGGUCCAGACUCCUACGGGAGGCAGCAGUGGGGAAUUUUGGACAAUGGGGGCAACCCUGAUCCAGCCAUGCCGCGUGAGUGAAGAAGGCCUUCGGGUUGUAAAGCUCUUUCAGCCGGGAAGAAAUCACAUGGGUUAAUACCCUGUGUGGAUGACGGUACCGGAAUAAGAAGCACCGGCUAACUACGUGCCAGCAGCCGCGGUAAUACGUAGGGUGCGAGCGUUAAUCGGAAUUACUGGGCGUAAAGCGUGCGCAGGCGGUUUGUUAAGAUAGGCGUGAAAUCCCCGGGCUCAACCUGGGAACUGCGUUUAUGACUGGCAGGCUAGAGUAUGGCAGAGGGGGGUGGAAUUCCACGUGUAGCAGUGAAAUGCGUAGAGAUGUGGAGGAACACCGAUGGCGAAGGCAGCCCCCUGGGCCAAUACUGACGCUCAUGCACGAAAGCGUGGGUAGCAAACAGGAUUAGAUACCCUGGUAGUCCACGCCCUAAACGAUGUCAACUAGGUGUUGGAUGGGUAAAACCAUUUAGUACCGGAGCUAACGCGUGAAGUUGACCGCCUGGGGAGUACGGCCGCAAGGUUAAAACUCAAAGGAAUUGACGGGGACCCGCACAAGCGGUGGAUGAUGUGGAUUAAUUCGAUGCAACGCGGAAAACCUUACCUACCCUUGACAUGUCCAGAAGCUCUUAGAGAUUUGAGUGUGCCCGAAAAGGGAAACUGGGAACACAGGUGCUGCAUGGCCUGUUCGUCAGCUCGUGUCGUGGAGAUGUUUGGGUUAAGUUCCCGGCAACGAAGCCGCAAACCCCU
rnacentral:rRNA from 1 species